rnacentral:rRNA from 1 species
AUGAAAUUCUCCUCCAAAAUUCUGCAACACCCAAAUGUCCCUUGGACUCAGUGGUAUAACCACCAACACCCUCUUGGCAUUGCUACAAAAACUCCACGACCCUCCUUUUUAUGGAAAAUUAUCAACAACAACUUGCCACUGCUAAUUGAGCACUCCUUUGUGAUCACAUAUAAUGGCCUCUCCACUUUCUUCUGGCUUGAUAAAUGGCUUCUACAGUCACCGCUACAAAAAGUUUUCCCAAACCUCUUCUCACACUCCAUUGAUGACAAGGUUUUAGUGGCUACUGUUUGGCAAACCAGCUUAUUGGCGAACCUACGGAACCGUCUGUCUAAUGCUGCUGCUCGCGAGCUGGAUUGUGUGAUGUUGUUGUUGCAGGACUUCCACCAGGUCGACCAACCGGACGAACGUUCUCUCACCCAUGGCCUGCCGUUCUCUGCCAAGAAUGCAUACUCCUCCAUUGUUGCUGAAGAUUUCACCGACCCGCACUAUGAUCUUGUUUGGGCCUCCAAAGUCCCGAUCAAGGUCAAGAUCUUUGCAUGGCUACUUCUCCGCGAUCGGCUGAACACGAAGGCAAACUUGUUUCACAAGCACAUUGCACAGUCAGCCGCAUGCCCUCGCUGUCAAGACCCUCAUGAAGAUGCCCUACACCUCAUCUCCAACUAUUCUUACGCUACACAAGUCUGGUCCUCCUUGGGACUGCAGGCUCCAACAUCUCUUGAUGAUGUGCUUCAACACCCAACGCUUCAAGGCCUCAACCCCAACAUAUGGCCGUCGGUCGCACUGUCUAUCUCUUGGAAACUAUGGGACUCAAGGAACGCUCUAGUAUUCAGGAACGACGAUCACUCCCUCAGGACCACGCUACGAAACAUUGUUGCUGAUUUCUCUCUAUGA